AGCGUGCUCUCCCCCACUUCCUUCCCACUCUCCCUCGUUCCCGGCCUCGCCAUCUCCGCGCCGUGGCCGCCCGGCGGCCCAGAUCCCACCGGCGAGCCACAGCAUGGACCGUCUCCGGGCGGGGAGCCCCGUCUACGGGCGGCAGCGGAGCGGCAGCAGCACGGGCUCCUCCUCCCCGGGCGGCGUCUCCCCGUCGCACCACCGCUCCUCCUCAACCUCCUCCGCCGCCUCCGCCGCGGGCGCGGCCGGCAUAUCCAACGUCCGCCGCACGCAGAACGUCGCCGCGCGCGCCGCGGCCGCGAGGCUCGCGCAGGUCAUGGCCUCGCAGAACGCUGCCGCGGCCGCCGGCGACGACGAUGACGACGACGACUACGCCGCCGACCACCCGCCGCCGCCCCCUGGGAGGUUCGGAAGUGGCAGGGUAGCGCACGGCAGCAACGGCGUGUCCCUGCUUGGACGCUCCGCGAGAUCUCCCUCCCCUGCGUUAGGUCGGAACAUUGUAGAGCCACCUCCUACCGUCCGCUCAUCAUCGGCAGGCAGGCCAGCUGUUGCAUCACGACCGACCACCACAGUGGUGCCACCGAUCAAAACCAACACAACACUGCGAACCCCAUCCCCUAUUCCACCUGUGUCUGUGGAGCCUCCAGUGGAUCGCACUCGGCCGAAAAGAUUUGAUGCGGGGCUUCAUAACUCGAGAGAAUCAGGACUAAAAAGAGAGGCAUCCACGCUUCACGAUGAGCUUGAUAUGCUACAAGAGGAGAAUGAAAGUGUUCUAGAAAAGUUGCGACUUGCUGAAGAAAGAUGUGAGGAAGCUGAAGCUAGAGCCAAGGAGCUUGAGAAACAGGUAGCUGCUCUUGGAGAAGGAGUAUCAUUAGAAGCUCGCCUCUUGAGCAGGAAGGAAGCAGCACUUAAACAGCGGGAGGCCGCACUAAAAGCUGCAAGAGAAUCAAAGGAUGGUAGAGAUGGGGAAGUAACAACAUUAAGGCAUGAACUUGAGUCUGCCAAAGAAGAGGUUGCAUCAGCAAUGGACCAGCUAAAGGAGGCAGAGUCUGAAACGAAGGCUCUCAGAUCUAUGACUCAGAGAAUGGUCUUAACUCAAGAAGAAAUGGAGGAGGUCGUCCUAAAAAGGUGCUGGCUUGCACGCUAUUGGGGCUUAGCAGUUCAAUAUGGUGUGUAUCCUGAAAUUGCGGUAUCAAAAUAUGAACAUUGGUCAUCAUUGGCUCCUCUUCCUCUCGAGAUUGUUCUUUCUGCUGGUCAAAAAGCUAAGGAGGAACCUCGAAAACAAGGUGAAAAUGGUCAGGGGAGAAAUAAACUUGCACGAGAAAUGAGUGAUGUGAUGGGAGAAGGCAAUAUAGAGAGCAUGCUUUCAGUUGAAAUGGGCCUUAGAGAGCUUUCUUCAUUGAAGGUGUUACAUUCACUUCAUUUUGUUUCUAACCAAGGCAACGCUGUGGUAGCUGUUACUCAAAUGUAGAGGCAAGCUUCUGCGUAAGAAAAACCAUGAGGGAAGACAUAAACUCUCCUAAUAUCCUGAAACUGUUGGUGGAAGAUGCUGUUGUAGUUGCACUUGGCCAACAUCGCAGACCUAGCAUAGUUCGUCAGUUCACAUCAGAUUUCAAAUCACCUGGUGAACCUAAAUACUUGGAGGCAUUUGAUCUUAGCCCAGAAGAGGCUGAAGAUGUUAGCUUUAAGCAGGCCUGGCUUAUAUACUUCUGGAGAAGAGCCAAAACUCAUGGUGUUGAGGAAGAUAUUGCUGAUGACCGGCUUCAGUUUUGGAUUGGGCGCAACGCACAAGCUCCAAAUUCUCAUGAUGCUAUAGAUGUGGAGAGGGGUCUAACAGAGCUGAGGAAAUUGGGCAUAGAGCAGCAAUUGUGGGAGGGCUCGCGAGCAGAUAUAGAUCAAGCUUCUUUGGCGAUGGAGAAUCAGUAAGAAUUUGCUAAUUUUCCAUGGCUGUGUAUCAUCCCAGUUUUGGAGAAACGGGAACUUUGGUUCCCAGCAGGUCUCGGCCCUUUGCAUCAUCAAGUAUCAGUCACAGAAUAGUGCUCCGAGCUUGGGGUGUGACCGAUGGACUUUGUCCAAAUUCCGAUGAGUUUGUGUAGUGCAUGUGCAAGCCAUUCUUCUGUUGUUAUUAAAAUAGCUUUGUGAAAUGUGUAAUAGCUUUGCGUUGGCAAGAGAAAACGAUGACAACGACGACCUCACUUCCAGCAAUUGUGAAUUCUGUGAUUAUCCCACCUUGUUUAUUCUCUGCUGUCGAGCUCAACUUCUCCGCACCAAGGAACGUGCGUGUUCCUGCAACAAUAUUGAACGAGAUGAUUUUGUAUAAUUCUCUGGGUAGUAUGAGUUUUAACAUUCUAUAAAACCAUCCCUGUUCAA